GNNNUGNCGUNUCGGAUAUUGGGCGUAAGGGCUCGCAGGCGGUUUCUUAAGUCUGAUGUGAAAGCCCCCGGCUCAACCGGGGAGGGUCAUUGGAAACUGGGAAACUUGAGUGCAGAAGAGGAGAGUGGAAUUCCACGUGUAGCGGUGAAAUGCGUAGAGAUGUGGAGGAACACCAGUGGCGAAGGCGACUCUCUGGUCUGUAACUGACGCUGAGGAGCGAAAGCGUGGGGAGCGAACAGGAUUAGAUACCCUGGUAGUCCACGCCGUAAACGAUGAGUGCUAAGUGUUAGGGGGUUUCCGCCCCUUAGUGCUGCAGCUAACGCAUUAAGCACUCCGCCUGGGGAGUACGGUCGCAAGACUGAAACUCAAAGGAAUUGACGGGGGCCCGCACAAGCGGUGGAGCAUGUGGUUUAAUUCGAAGCAACGCGAAGAACCUUACCAGGUCUUGACAUCCUCUGACAACCCUAGAGAUAGGGCUUUCCCUUCGGGGACAGAGUGACAGGUGGUGCAUGGUUGUCGUCAGCUCGUGUCGUGAGAUGUUGGGUUAAGUCCCGCAACGAGCGCAACCCUUGAUCUUAGUUGCCAGCAUUCAGUUGGGCACUCUAAGGUGACUGCCGGUGACAAACCGGAGGAAGGUGGGGAUGACGUCAAAUCAUCAUGCCCCUUAUGACCUGGGCUACACACGUGCUACAAUGGACAGAACAAAGGGCUGCAAGACCGCAAGGUUUAGCCAAUCCCAUAAAUCUGUUCUCAGUUCGGAUCGCAGUCUGCAACUCGACUGCGUGAAGCUGGAAUCGCUAGUAAUCGCGGAUCAGCAUGCCGCGGUUGAAUACGUUCCCGGGCCUUGUACACACCGCCCGUCACACCACGAGAGUUUGCAACACCCGAAGUCGUGAGGUAACCUUUAUGGAGCAGCGCGAGUGGGCAGAUGAUGNUGAGCUNGNNNUG
rnacentral:rRNA from 1 species